AUUGAACGCUGGCGGCAGGCUUAACACAUGCAAGUCGAGCGGGGGAAGGUAGCUUGCUACUGGACCUAGCGGCGGACGGGUGAGUAAUGCUUAGGAAUCUGCCUAUUAGUGGGGGGCAACAUCUCGAAAGGGAUGCUAAUACCGCAUACGUCCUACGGGAGAAAGCAGGGGAUCUUCGGACCUUGCGCUAAUAGAUGAGCCUAAGUCGGAUUAGCUAGUUGGUGGGGUAAAGGCCUACCAAGGCGACGAUCUGUAGCGGGUCUGAGAGGAUGAUCAGCACAACUGGGACUGGGACACGGCCCAGACUCCUACGGGAGGCAGCAGUGGGGAAUAUUGGACAAUGGGGGGAACCCUGAUCCAGCCAUGCCGCGUGUGUGAAGAAGGCCUUAUGGUUGUAAAGCACUUUAAGCGAGGAGGAGGCUACUCUAGUUAAUACCUAGGGAUAGUGGACGUUACUCGCAGAAUAAGCACCGGCUAACUCUGUGCCAGCAGCCGCCGUAA
rnacentral:rRNA from 1 species